rnacentral:rRNA from 1 species
AUCUUGCGCAAUGGGCGAAAGCCUGACGCAGCCAUGCCGCGUGGAUGAUGAAGGUCUUAGGAUUGUAAAAUCCUUUCACCGGGGACGAUAAUGACGGUACCCGGAGAAGAAGCCCCGGCUAACUUCGUGCCAGCAGCCGCGGUAAUACGAAGGGGGCUAGCGUUGCUCGGAAUUACUGGGCGUAAAGGGCGCGUAGGCGGACAGUUUAGUUGGGGGUGAAAGCCCGGGGCUCAACCUCGGAAUUGCCUUCAAUACUGGCUGUCUUGAGUGUGAGAGAGGUGUGUGGAACUCCGAGUGUAGAGGUGAAAUUCGUAGAUAUUCGGAAGAACACCAGUGGCGAAGGCGACACACUGGCUCACUACUGACGCUGAGGCGCGAAAGCGUGGGGAGCAA